GGGUUGUGAGGUUAAGCGAAUAAGCGUACACGGUGGAUGCCUAGGCAAUCAGAGGCGAUGAAGGACGUGCUAAUCUGCGAUAAGCGUCGGUAAGGUGAUAUGAACCGUUAUACCCGACGAUUUCCGAAUGGGGAAACCCAAUAUCCAAUGGAUAUUAUCAUUAACUGAAUACAUAGGUUAAUGAAGCGAACCGGGAGAACUGAAACAUCUCAGUACCCCGAGGAAAAGAAAUCAACCGAGAUUCCCCUAGUAGCGGCGAGCGAACGGGGAACAGCCCAGAGUCUUAAUCAAUAGCAGCAUCAGGAGAACGGUCUGGAAAGUCCGGCAGUAAAGGGUGAUAGCCCCGUAUCCGAAGAUGCUGUUAUUGUGAACUCGACGAGUAGGGCGGGACACGUGUUAUCCUGUCUGAAUAUGGGGGGACCAUCCUCCAAGGCUAAAUACUCCUGAUUGACCGAUAGUGAACCAGUACCGUGAGGGAAAGGCGAAAAGAACCCCGGCGAGGGGAGUGAAAAAGAACCUGAAACCGUGUACGUACAAGCAGUAGGAGCCCCACCACUAAGCUAGUGGUGAACUCACAGCGAUUCUUUUGCAUGAUAAUGUGCGGUAGACGGAGCGAAUGCGACGUCCAACCAACAAAAUCAAGCAGAGGAGGCUUAGUGGUGGGGUGACUGCGUACCUUUUGUAUAAUGGGUCAGCGACUUAUAUUCUGUAGCAAGGUUAACCGUAUAGGGGAGCCGUAGGGAAACCGAGUCUUAACUGGGCGAAUGAGUUGCAGGGUAUAGACCCGAAACCCGGUGAUCUAUCCAUGGGCAGGUUGAAGGUUGGGUAACACUAACUGGAGGACCGAACCGACUAAUGUUGAAAAAUUAGCGGAUGACUUGUGGAUGGGGGUGAAAGGCCAAUCAAACCGGGAGAUAGCUGGUUCUCCCCGAAAGCUAUUUAGGUAGCGCCUCGUGAAUUCAUCUUCGGGGGUAGAGCACUGUUUCGACUAGGGGGUCAUCCCGACUUACCAACUCGAUGCAAACUGCGAAUACCGAAGAAUGUUAUCACGGGAGACACACGGCGGGUGCUAACGUCCGUCGUGAAGAGGGAAACAACCCAGACCGCCAGCUAAGGUCCCAAAGUCAUGGUUAAGUGGGAAACGAAGUGGGAAGGCUCAGACAGCCAGGAUGUUGGCUUAGAAGCAGCCAUCAUUUAAAGAAAGCGUAAUAGCUCACUGGUCGAGUCGGCCCGCGCGGAAGAUGUAACGGGGCUAAACCAUGCACCGAAGCUGCGGCAGCAACACUAAGUGUUGUUGGGUAGGGGAGCGUUCUGUAAGCCUGCGAAGGUGUACUGUGAGGUAUGCUGGAGGUAUCAGAAGUGCGAAUGCUGACAUAAGUAACGAUAAUGCGGGUGAAAAACCCGCACGCCGGAAGACCAAGGGUUCCUGUCCAACGUUAAUCGGGGCAGGGUGAGUCGACCCCUAAGGCGAGGCUGAAAAGCGUAGUCGAUGGGAAACGGGUUAAUAUUCCCGUACUGGUGGUAACUGCGAUGGGGGAACGGAGAAGGCUAGGUUGUCCGGGCGACGGUCGUCCCGGUUCAAGCAUGUAGGCAGAGUGAUUAGGCAAAUCCGGUCACUUAAUGCUGAGGUGUGAUGACGAACCACUAAGGUGGUGAAGCAAUUGAUGCCCUGCUUCCAGGAAAAGCCUCUAAGCUUCAGGUUACCAACAAUCGUACCCCAAACCGACACAGGUGGUCAGGUAGAGAAUACUCAGGCGCUUGAGAGAACUCGGGUGAAGGAACUAGGCAAAAUGGUGCCGUAACUUCGGGAGAAGGCACGCUGGCGGUAAGUGAAGUCCCUUGCGGACGGAGCCGAAGCCAGUCGAAGAUACCAGCUGGCUGCAACUGUUUAUUAAAAACACAGCACUGUGCAAACACGAAAGUGGACGUAUACGGUGUGACGCCUGCCCGGUGCUGGAAGGUUAAUUGAUGGGGUUAUCCUUAGGGAGAAGCUCUUGAUCGAAGCCCCAGUAAACGGCGGCCGUAACUAUAACGGUCCUAAGGUAGCGAAAUUCCUUGUCGGGUAAGUUCCGACCUGCACGAAUGGCGUAAUGAUGGCCAGGCUGUCUCCACCCGAGACUCAGUGAAAUUGAACUCGCUGUGAAGAUGCAGUGUACCCGCGGCAAGACGGAAAGACCCCGUGAACCUUUACUAUAGCUUGACACUGAACAUUGAGCCUUGAUGUGUAGGAUAGGUGGGAGACUAUGAAGUGUGGACGCCAGUCUGCAUGGAGUCAACCUUGAAAUACCACCCUUUAACGUUUGAUGUUCUAACCUAGGUCCAUAAUCUGGAUCGGGGACCGUGUCUGGUGGGUAGUUUGACUGGGGCGGUCUCCUCCUAAAGAGUAACGGAGGAGCACGAAGGUUGGCUAAGCAUGGUCGGACAUCAUGCGGUUAGUGCAAAGGCAUAAGCCAGCUUGACUGUGAGAGUGACGGCUCGAGCAGGUACGAAAGUAGGUCUUAGUGAUCCGGUGGUUCUGAAUGGAAGGGCCAUCGCUCAACGGAUAAAAGGUACUCCGGGGAUAACAGGCUGAUACCGCCCAAGAGUUCAUAUCGACGGCGGUGUUUGGCACCUCGAUGUCGGCUCAUCACAUCCUGGGGCUGAAGUAGGUCCCAAGGGUAUGGCUGUUCGCCAUUUAAAGUGGUACGCGAGCUGGGUUUAGAACGUCGUGAGACAGUUCGGUCCCUAUCUGCCGUGGGCGUUGGAAGAUUGAGAGGGGUUGCUCCUAGUACGAGAGGACCGGAGUGAACGCACCACUGGUGUUCGGGUUGUCAUGCCAAUGGCAUUGCCCGGUAGCUAAGUGCGGAAGAGAUAACCGCUGAAAGCAUCUAAGCGGGAAACUUGCCUCGAGAUGAGUCUUCCCUGUCACCUAGAGUGACCUAAAGGAACGUUUAAGACUAAGACGUUGAUAGGCUGGGUGUGUAAGCGUAGCGAUACGUUGAGCUAACCAGUACUAAUGAACCGUGAGGCUUAACCUGACAACACCGAAGGUGUUU
rnacentral:rRNA from 1 species